rnacentral:rRNA from 1 species
UGAGGGAUAUUGGGCAAUGGGGGAAACCCUGACCCAGCAACGCCGCGUGAGGGAUGACGGUUUUCGGAUUGUAAACCUCUGUCCUCUGUGAAGAUAGUGACGGUAGCAGAGGAGGAAGCUCCGGCUAACUACGUGCCAGCAGCCGCGGUAAUACGUAGGGAGCGAGCGUUGUCCGGAUUUACUGGGUGUAAAGGGUGCGUAGGCGGAUUGGCAAGUCAGAAGUGAAAUCCAUGGGCUCAACCCAUGAACUGCAUUUGAAACUGUUAUUCUUGAGUACUGGAGAGGUUGACGGAAUUCCUAGUGUAGCGGUGAAAUGCGUAGAUAUUAGGAGGAACACCAGUGGCGAAGGCGGUCAACUGGACAGC